rnacentral:rRNA from 1 species
AGCAGCCGCGGUAAUUCCAGCUCCAAUAGCGUAUAUUAAAGUUGUUGCAGUUAAAAAGCUCGUAGUUGAACUUCGGGGUUUACCCAUUGGUCAGGCUUAAUUGUCUGUACUGGUGAGAUAAAUCUCUACCUUCUGAGGAACUUUCAUGUCAUUAAUUUGGUGUGAUUAGAAAUCAGGACUGUUACUUUGAAAAAAUUAGAGUGUUUAAAGCAGGCUAACGUCUGAAUACAUUAGCAUGGAAUAAUGAAAUAGGACGGAUUGAUUCUAUUUCGUUGGUUUCUAGGAUCACCGUAAUGAUUAAUAGGGAUAGUUGGGGGCAUUAGUAUUCAAUUGUCAGAGGUGAAAUUCUUGGAUUUAUUGAAGACUAACUACUGCGAAAGCAUUUGCCAAGGAUGUUUUCAUUAAUCAAGAACGAAAGUUAGGGGAUCGAAGACGAUCAGAUACCGUCGUAGUCUUAACCAUAAACUAUGCCGACUAGGGAUCGGACGAAGUUAAUUUUAUAAUGACGCGUUCGGCACCU